rnacentral:rRNA from 1 species
CCUACGGGUGGCUGCAGUGGGGAAUAUUGGGCAAUGGGCGCAAGCCUGACCCAGCAACGCCGCGUGAAGGAAGAAGGCUUUCGGGUUGUAAACUUCUUUUAAGAGGGAAGAGCAGAAGACGGUACCUCUUGAAUAAGCCACGGCUAACUACGUGCCAGCAGCCGCGGUAAUACGUAGGUGGCAAGCGUUGUCCGGAUUUACUGGGUGUAAAGGGCGUGUAGCCGGGCUGACAAGUCAGAUGUGAAAUUCCGCGGCUCAACCGCGGACCUGCAUUUGAAACUGUUGGUCUUGAGUAUCGGAGAGGCCGGCGGAAUUCCUAGUGUAGCGGUGAAAUGCGUAGAUAUUAGGAAGAACACCAGUGGCGAAGGCGGACUGCUGGACGACAACUGACGGUGAGGCGCGAAAGCGUGGGGAGCAAACAGGAUUAGAUACCCUUGUAGUC